CAGUCGCCGCGGGAAUACGGAGGGUGCAAGCGUUAAUCGGAAUUACUGGGCGUAAAGCGCACGCAGGCGGUUUGUUAAGUCAGAUGUGAAAUCCCCGAGCUUAACUUGGGAACUGCAUUUGAAACUGGCAAGCUAGAGUCUUGUAGAGGGGGGUAGAAUUCCAGGUGUAGCGGUGAAAUGCGUAGAGAUCUGGAGGAAUACCGGUGGCGAAGGCGGCCCCCUGGACAAAGACUGACGCUCAGGUGCGAAAGCGUGGGGAGCAAACAGGAUUAGAUACCCCGGUAGUCCCUGUCUCUUAUAA
rnacentral:rRNA from 1 species